rnacentral:rRNA from 1 species
UACGGGGGAGGCAAGCGUUGUUCGGAAUUACUGGGCGUAAAGGGCUCGUAGGCGGCCAACUAAGUCAGACGUGAAAUCCCUCGGCUUAACCGGGGAACUGCGUCUGAUACUGGAUGGCUUGAGAUUGGGAGAGGGAUGCGGAAUUCCAGGUGUAGCGGUGAAAUGCGUAGAUAUCUGGAGGAACACCGGUGGCGAAGGCGGCAUCCUGGACCAAUACUGACGCUGAGGUGCGAAAGCGUGGGGAGCAAACAGG